AAGGAAAAUGAAAGUGAGUGGCAGGAAAAGGGACUUCCUGCUGGGCAAAACAACAAACUCUGAAAAAGCCCCUUAUGUGCAAGGGAGAUUAUAAGCAGAUGGAGACUUUGGUGCCAAAGCUAUCUCCUGCAAGCAACACAGGAAGGUGAUUUUUAAAGACAAGAAAAUCAUAUAAUUGAGCUUUAAUCACCAGAAGUUAUCAUACAAAACUCAAGGUCAUAUGGUCUUGGGCAGGAUAUUCUGUCAGUUCUCCUGCAUUAUGCAACCAGGGAGGAAAGCCAGUGUUGCUCACUGUGAGGUACCACACUAUCUGCUGAACAUUGGACCCCAGCCACACUGAUGGAAUAGGAGAGUAUCUACCAAAGAGGAGCCUUUGAAACCCACAGAUCAGGCACUGACAAUGAUGGAAAGCUGGAGAACUGGAGGAACCAGUAGUGGCUCAGUCUAAGAAGCUGGAGCCUCAGAACCAGAGGAACCAAUGAUGCUGUCCUGGUCCAGGACAGAAAACCUGGAAAUUCCCUGGAGAGUCACCAGUGAGAACCUGCUCUGAAGAGUGAAGAAGUUGGAGUCUCAUGUCCUCGUUGCAACACAGCAGCAAUGGAACCCACUCCAAAGAAGAAUGGGGAAUCCUCUCUUCUGCUGCCUCCUUGAUCUUUCACCUUUUUGUUCUGUCCAGGCCCCUAACAUAUAGGACUGUGCUAUCCACAUUUAGGGUGGGUCUUUCCCUCAGUUUGCUGUCCUACGUGUCAAUGAUUCCUAGAAGCACCCUCCUUGACACACCCAGAAGCCUCUUAAUCUUGAGCAUCUCUGAGUCCAAUCAAGUUGACAAUUCAGAUUAACCACAGUGAGUUUAUUGAAAAUUUUUCACAUAACUUGUCUUUGUCUGAUAAUAUUAUCUCUCCCUUUCCCAGUUCACUUUCUUCAAUUAUUAGUUGUUAUUAGUUGUGGUUUCUGUUCCUGAGAAACAUAUCGAGUACUAAAGUGGUUCAAUUCCCAUUCAGGGUUGACCAGUUUGCACUUGCUCAGUAGUACUAAGUGGCAGAAAGUGUAUCAUUAGAGGGAGAGAUUCAAACCAGUCUUAGAAUGAUCCAGUUUUCUGAACCCAAAUUUGGAUACCUGAUAGACCAUGGUUCCUCGAUUCUUCAAGUACCUACGCAGAUCUCCAACCUCAUGAAGCUCAGUCUAAUUUAAUCUGGAGGCCAGGCUGUCCAACAGUAAUACUAUAAUGCAGCAAGAGCUACAGAGGUGACCAGAAAAGAUAACCCUCUGCCCUUUAGGAGGAGAGAAUCAAGGCUGAGGAGAGUCUUAGCUCAGUCUUGGAAGAAAAUGUCUUUUCUUCUCAGGCAGUCCUUCUGGCUGCAGGAAGGGCAUUCCAGGUCCACAUAGGCACAAAAACAUGAAACUGUUGGAGUACGUAGUCUGCCACACAACUGGAAAAUUUGGUCUUCUCUGGGCAUAUGCACCUCAAAAUUUUUUAUUUGUAAAUUUUGGAAUCUGAUCUAUCUUGAUGUUCUGUUGUCUCAUCCAAGUGCCUUGGUUCUACUAGUUGUAGGACUCCUGCAACAUAGCAGAUUGGUUUUCUUCAUGUGAGGGAAGAAAUUGCUUUGUCCUUUUUCUUCUUAAUAAACAUGCAAACUUUGUUCCAUUUGUGGGACUCACCUCCUAGCCUGUGUUCAAUUUUCUCGGUAAGCUACCUUUGCAAAUAAACCAGGGACUGAAUCACAGCUAUCACAGGCAUGAGAUGAAAGGAGCCACGUGCAUUAAGAGACUCCUUAAAGAUCCAGCCAGCCUUCAUUUCCUCUCACGAUGGGAAGCUUUGGGCCUCUACUGACUAGGAUGUAACCACAACAAAACAACAUCUCUCUGUGUGUGGGUUUUAAAAAUAAACCGAAGUGAUUUGUACAUACAAAUGGCUUCUCAGAAAAAGGAGUGUGGAAAAGCCAAGUUAGAAAAGAAAACAAACAAUACUUGAAACCUUUCCCUCUUUUCUUUCCCAACAGGUUUUCUUUCUCAGAACUCUUGUCUGGAAAACUCAUCUAUUGUUGCUUUGCAUACUGAGACUCCUAGCAAAAUAACAGUGUCAAGACACAUGGUCACCAAGAGACAUCAGCACCCAAAGGCUUGUGAAUGUGACUGUGUUGGGGGGAGGGGUGAUCUUUCUUACAGCUACCUCUCUGAUCUCAGGAGAACUUGAAUCCACCUUGAUAUAUGUGACCAGAUACCUAAGAUCCACCCUUUUUCUCCUAUUCUGAUUGACCUUGGGAUCCCGGUUAUCCUCUACAAUUGAGCUGUUGCAAGAGAACCAGAAAGAAAUUUCUUUUUCCCUGAAAUGGCCCAAUGCUGAAUUUCUCCAGAUUGACUAACACCAACACCAAGAGGAUAGUAUGGUUUAAAAACAAAUCCAGGUCUAGUUAGGAUUGAAUCUAAUUGGACUCUAGAUUGGACUUGGUUUCUUAUAGCCAUCUAAUAUCUUCCUUGGAGCUAUCCCCAAAAUACAAGGCUCCUGUGGAAUGGGGAGUCUCAGUAUGACCGUAGCAGAAACAAAUUGCCACAGGCUUCUUAGUCUGGCAUGCCCAAACCUCUCCAAAGACAAUGGGGAGGAAACAAGUUUCAGAGUGCUUCAUGCCCCAUGGAAAUUAUAACUAUGUUUUCAAAUAUGAUAGUUACUAACCACAUAUGACUCUUAAAAUUAAAUUUUGAAUUAAUUAAAAUAAUUCAGUGCCUCAGUCACAUGAAGAGACUUUUCAUGUGCUCCUAACCAUAUGUCCAUGUAUAUCACAGAUAUAACACAUUUCUACUAGCACAGAAAGUUCUAGCAGAUAUUCAUAGACUCCAGUAUUUCAUUGAAGUAUGGUUUUGCUCUACCUAUGUGAGCAUUCAUAUUUGUGGUUAUUUUAACAAUACACAUCUUUCUCUCUUAUUUUGCCUUUAAUAAGUAAUAUAUUAACCAAGGGUGCAUUCAGGAGAGGUAGGAUUAUAUCUUGAUAAGAGUACUACUUGGUUUCUGAAGCCAAAAGCCAAGUGGUAUCUUAGUGUUUCCAAUAGUCAUGUGUUGACUGGUUGAGUAAAUGGCCUAUUUUCUAUAGCUGCUUAUCACCUUAUAUUUCCCCUUCUGAAACACUCCCAGGUUUACAGAUACACUUAGCAAUCAUCCUAAGUAAACUGUGAGCCUUAUGAAUGUAAUCGCUGCUUCUCUCCAUUUUAUCAUUGUAGCCUCACCAUCCAGCACUGUGCCUGGGUGAUGAUCAUUGUAUAAUAAAUAUUUGUUAAAUGAGUGAGUGAAUAAAUGUUGACUUUCUAUGUGUCAUUCA